rnacentral:rRNA from 1 species
GACGAACGCUGGCGGCGUGCUUAACACAUGCAAGUCGAACGGAAAGUCCCUGCUUUUUUGGGGUGCUCGAGUGGCGACCUGGUGAGUAACACGUGAGUACCCUGCCCUUGACUUUGGGAUAACUUCAUGAAACUUGGUCUAAUACCGGCUAGGAGCUCCUGCUGCUUGGUGGGGGUUCGAAAGUUUCGGCGGUUGGUGAUGGACUCGCGUCUUAUCAGCUUGGUGGUGGGGUAGUGGCUUACCAUGGCUUGGACAGGUGGCAGGGCUGAGAGGAUGACCGGACAAAUUGGGACUGAGAUAAGACACAGACUCGAAUGGGAGGGAGGAGAGGAGAAGAUAGCACAAUGGGCGGAAGGAUGAUGCAGCAAAGCAGUGUGGGGGAAGAGAGGAUGGGGGUUGGAAACCGAUUUUGCCUGUGACGAAGCGUGAGUGACGGUAAUGGGUAAAGAAGCUCCGGCUAACUACGUG